rnacentral:snoRNA from 1 species
GCGGUGAUGACAUCUAAUAAAGCACGUGUUAGACUGCUGACGAGGGUGAUGCGAACUAGAGUCUGAGC